CUUCAUUUGGCAAAUCGAAUACCAUUUUCAACACCUUGGAGCUUCGGUUCUCCUAUUUCCUUGCAUGGAUAAUUUUUUUCCGGAAUUGAGCGAUUGGAUCAACACGAAUAUCACACUAUCUAGAUUCUUUUUGGUAGAUUUUGAAAACGAUUAAUUUUGGUAUAUGUGGCAUGUAAUAGGAGUAUCUCGUAUAUGUUUUAAGUACUUACUACAAGUGGUCUUUUCUAUACUUGUGUGAUAAAUAUAUGCUUUAGUUAAUAAUGUGCUAAUUCAUGGUUUGGUAUGAAAUUUAAAUUUAGUACGGAACUUGUCAUGUAAUAGGUGUUGUGUAAAUAUUUUGAAUACAAGUUACUUGUGGUGCUUGUUAUACUUGAAAGAUGUUGCCUUAGAUU